rnacentral:rRNA from 1 species
UGGGCACUCUAAAGGGACGUGCCGGUGUUAAACCGGAGGAAGGUGGGGAGUGACGUCAAGUCCUCAUGGCCUUUAUGACCAGGGCUACACACGUACUACAAUGGCCGAUACAAAGGGCAGCGACACUGCGAGGUGAAGCCAAUCCCGUAAAAUCGGUCUCAGUCCGGAUUGGAGUCUGCAACUCGACUCCAUGAAGUUGGAAUCGCUAGUAAUCGUGGAUCAGCAUGCCACGGUGAAUACGUUCCCGGGCCUU